AACAUGUGAGCUAUAAUUUGUAGUAUUUUGCUACUGUGCACCAGUCCAUCUAUUGCAUAUCAUGUUGUUGGAUCGGAGAUCAAAUCGGCAUAGAUUUGUGCCAAGAAAAAUGAAAAUUGUUAGCAUAAAUAACAUUCUCUCAAGGAAGAGWGAGAUGUUCUUUGCUACAUUUAUUUUGUAUGACUCUUGACAAUGGAUAUCUUGGCUCUUGCAUCGAUGAAGAGCGUAGCGAAAUGCGAUACAUGGUGCGAAUUGCAGAAUCCCGUGAACCAUCGAGUUUUUGAAUGCAAGUUGCGCCCGAGGCCUAGUAGGCUAAAGGCACGUUUGCCUGGGAAUCAAGCAAAUUCAUCGCUUUGUUUAAUAUCAUCAUAUUAAAAAAUAAUGAUUUUUUACAAAUGCGGAGAGUGGCCUGUUGCGUUUGGCGUAGCGGGAUCAAGAUUGGGAUGAUUCCUCUUGACGGUGAUCGACGAUUGGGUGUUGGACUAUGUUGCAUGGCCUUAUAAUCGUAUGAUCGUCUAGGAAGAUUGCAGAAAAAUUUGAACAUUUAUAGUGUUUUCGUGGCAUGUAGAAAUGUGAUCCCAGGAUAGGCGGGGUAACCCGCUGAAUUUAAGCAUAUAAAUAA
rnacentral:rRNA from 1 species